rnacentral:misc_RNA from 1 species
CAGAGUUGCAAAACUCCCUAAACACUUGUGAACCUACCCGUAUCGUUGCUUCGGUGGGCGGCCCCAGGGCGGGGCCGUAGCCUUUACAGGCGCCCGCCGGAGGUUACAAACUCUAUAUUUUUAAUUGUCUCUCUGAGUAAACUUAUAAAUAAGUCA